AAGGAUCAUUACCAAACAUGGAAUAUCAUAUCCCUUAAACCCACUCUGAGUAUUUGUACCUGUUGCUUCCGUAGGCAGUGAACUAUAUGUUUGCGCCUGCUCGUGCGGUGGACCUACGGGAGAUAUCAAACAACUUCGCAAUUUGUGACCUCAGUCUGAUCAUGUUUAUUCGUUAAACUUUAAAACUUUCAACAACGGAUCUCUUGGUUCUC
rnacentral:misc_RNA from 1 species